rnacentral:rRNA from 1 species
GAUGAACGCUAGCGGCAGGCUUAAUACAUGCAAGUCGUGGGGCAGCAGGUCUGUAGCAAUACAGAUGCUGGCGACCGGCAAACGGGUGCGUAACACGUACGCAACUUACCCAUUACAGGGGAAUAGCCCAGGGAAACUUGGAUUAAUACCCCAUAUUAUAUAGGACUGGCAUCAGUCUUAUAUCAAAGCUUCGGCGGUAAUGGAUGGGCGUGCGGUUGAUUAGAUAGUUGGCGGGGUAACGGCCCACCAA